GUCCAGGACAAGAGGUGAGGAGCCUCUAACUGCGUGGUCCCGCCCGCGGGUCAACUGGCGGUCAGAUCCUCUUGACGACCUUCUCCAGCGAUACCUCCGUCGUCAUUCUCUCAGAGCCACAUUUAAACUACUCAAAAUUCCAUCUGGAAUUCAAGACCUCACAGAUUAAGAAAAUUUGGAAGCUGUUCUCCCUAAUUAAUAAACCACUGCCACCUCAUAAAGAUGCCAGUGCCCCUCUUCUACUCCUGAAGAGCCUGAUGAAGGGCUGAAAAGAGAACUGAGCAGGUUGACUGUGGCAGAGCAUGGAGCAUUGAUAUGUUCACAGAAACAGGGCAGGAGAAGACUAUGGAGUCAUUGGAAUUCUCUAGGAACACCUCUUUUUCUUCAUCUCUAUUCCAAAUUACAACUUUCAGUGCUAUUUUAUACCAGAAUGGAUCUCCAAUACCUGACAUCCUGCAUAUCCAAAUUUCCAACUUCCAUACAGAUCUGAAGCUGCAGACAUGGGAUAUCCAAUGCUACUGACCCCUAUGUCAGUAACAGCCAGAUAAGAAAAUGGAAGAACACAAAGCUGAGGGAAUUUGCUCACUGUUGCAUAGAUACUAAAGGAUGAGAUCCAAAGUGCAAGAGUUUUCCAAUACAGCAUUCUGGGAAUGAGCUGAAUUUCCACCUUGUCUUCAACAACAAUACAGUCUGCUCUCUUUUUUUACAACUUUCAUUUUCUUUCCGGGACCUUAAUUAGAUUUCCAGGAUCUUAAUUAGAUUCCACCACCAAAGACAAGACGAUACAGAGGAUGUGUGAGAAUAGUAAAUGACCUAAAAAUACUUUUUUGCCAUGGUACACACUCUUCCCCAAUAAAGCCUUAAUUUGACAAUGUAA